rnacentral:lncRNA from 1 species
AUCGGGCAGCUGAGCUGUGCCCCACACAGCACCAUGAAGCUGGGGCUGCUCUGUGCCCUCGCCAUGGCCCUCCUGGCCAUGGCCAUGGCUGACCUCAAAGACUCCAAGAAGGGAAAAAUGCUCACAUGGAACAGAGAGGCAGGGACGCGCGGCGGGGGCCGGCGCCGACCACACCAGCUGUGCUCAGGGUGUUUCUCUGUGCUGAGUGAGGACAGGAAAGGAGGAGCAGCGGUGGCCAAGCACAGCCCUGCGCCAUGAUGGAGCUGGGGGUCCCACCACCCCCUGACUGCACAGCAGCCCUGAGGGGAGCCAGGGGGUCCUGCUGUGCCUCCAGCAUGAUGGGGCUGCCCAGCCGCCCCAGAGUGCUCCUGGGGGGCAGCACCCCCACCUGCCACACGAAGCUGCCAAAUAAAGCCACCAAACCAG